GAAAUGCGAUACGUAAUGUGAAUUGCAGAAUUCAGUGAAUCAUCGAAUCUUUGAACGCACCUUGCGCCCCUUGGCAUUCCGAGGGGCACACCCGUUUGAGUGUCGUGAAAUUCUCAAAACCCCUUCCUUUGCCGGAAAGGAUUUUGGACUUGGAGGCCUUUUGCUGGUUUCACCUCGAAGCGAGCUCCUCCUAAAUGGAUUAGUGGGGUCUGCUUUGCCGAUCCUUGACGUGAUAAGAUGCUUCUACGUCUUUGGGUUUUGGCACUGUGCCUCUGCUUCUAAUCGUCUCAUCGACAACGAUGGUGUUCCGGUCACCGCCGAUUCUUCGGUUGGGAGGCUUGACCCACAAAACGACCUUGACCUCAAAUCGGGUGAGACUACCCGCUGAACUUAA
rnacentral:rRNA from 1 species